rnacentral:rRNA from 1 species
AGUGAACGCUGGCGGUAGGCCUAACACAUGCCAGUCGAACGGCAGCACAGUAAGAGCUUGCUCUUACGGGUGGCGAGUGGCGGACGGGUGAGGAAUACAUCGGAAUCUACUUUUUCGUGGGGGAUAACGUAGGGAAACUUACGCUAAUACCGCAUACGCCCUCCGGGUGAAAGCAGGGGAUCUUCGGACCUUGCGCGAUUGAAUGAGCCGAUGUCGGAUUAGCUAGUUGGCGGGGUAAAGGCCCACCAAGGCGACGAUCCGUAGCUGGUCUGAGAGGAUGAUCAGCCACACUGGAACUGAGACACGGUCCAGACUCCUACGGGAGGCAGCAGUGGGGAAUAUUGGACAAUGGGCGCAAGCCUGAUCCAGCCAUACCGCGUGGGUGAAGAAGGCCUUCGGGUUGUAAAGCCCUUUUGUUGGGAAAGAAAAGCAGCAGGUUAAUACCCCGCUGUUCUGACGGUACCCAAAGAAUAAGCACCGGCUAACUUCGUG